GACAAGGGCGUGAACGUGAUUGUUCACAAAAACGAAGAGCAAUACCAUAGGCGUUGGGGCUGACGUCACAGACACAGUCUCUUCUUCCUUCUUCAAUUGGGCGUGUAAUCGAAAUUCUUAUCUUAAACCCGUUAAUUUAGAUUCAUCGAUCUGCUUCAAGCUCAAGAUCUCUGGCUUUACCAAUCUCACAGUAUCUGCAGAAUUCAUUGCCCACUGAUAGAAUUCCUCACCCUUUCGACGAAGAAGUAGUCAACCUGUUCGCAGCAAGUUCAAAAAUUAUAAACAACGAUGAAACAAAUUGAGGAUGCAUUCAGAGAGUUACAACGAGAGAGGACAUUGCAAUAGUGUUAAUCAGUCAAUAUGUUGCAAACAUGAUAAGGUUCUCAGUAGAUAGCUACAACAAACCGAUUCCAGCAAUUUUGGAGAUCCCAUCAAAGGACCAUCCUUGCGAUACCGCACGUGAUUCGAUACUUUCACGAGUGAAGUACCUCUUCUCAGCUGAGUCAGUAGCGUUAACUUACCACCGGCAGCUGUUAAAGAGUUGUGUCUUGACCUGAACCAUUUGAAGUGGUAGUUUGCGCUGUAGUUGCUAGUUGUGUUCGGGAUUAUUAUAUAUAUUCUGUCAUAUGCACAAUAAGCAACGUUUAUGAAAAGUAAACCGAAGGAAAGUUCAUAUCUGAGGGUAGUAAAGAUAUUAGCAUUUCGAUUCUUCUAUUCUUAUCUUUCUAUUAGUUUGUUGAAUUUUGCAUCUUAAUUCGUGACUUCUCGACUUGAAUGGAUCUAUUUAUUCAGUCCUAUUAUUAUUAUUA